CGACCCACCUUAUUCUCUCACCUCACAUCAGAACCCACCUUAUUCUCUCACCUCACAUCACAACCGUCGUCUUCUUCAUCUUCUUUCUCGCUCUUAUUUUCUUCUUCCUUUCUAUUUGUUUCUCUCUCACCGUCGACGGUAUUCUGCCCGCUACCACACUUGCUCUGAUUUCAAGGGAGGUUCGAUCGAUUUCUGAGCCAAUCAUCAUCGCAGGUUUUCGUUUUAGGGCACAACUAACUUUACAAAGAUUUUUCAGAAACACUGAUCAAGAAUUAUACCUGCUUCAAGUUGAUUCGAACAAGGUCAGUUCUUGAUACACAGUAUACAUAAAGCUUCGAGCUGGCAUAAUGACCAUUAUUUAUCAGAAGGUGACUUCCUGAAGCUACGUUGUUUUGAUUGAGAAAUUCGAAAUGAAGUCAUCACAAUAUUAGGUAGCAGGUUUUGUAAAUGAGUUCCGAGAUUUGCGUUUGAGUUCCAGAUUUGAAGUUGGUUUCGAUCCAGAUACCAGAUUUGAAGUCGUUUUGGUUCCAGAUUUUUUUUUUGUGGAGUUUAAAGUGUAGAUUGUAAUUAUAUGAGAUUUGUAUUAGAUUUUGUUCCAAGUAUACUAGAAUUUAGUUCUAGAUUUUUUUUCCACUUGUAUCUACAUUUAUUAUCAAUAAUAAUUGAAUUGAUUAA